rnacentral:rRNA from 1 species
CCUACGGGUGGCAGCAGUAGGGAAUAUUGCUCAAUGGGGGAAACCCUGAAGCAGCAACGCCGCGUGGAGGAUGAAGGUUUUCGGAUUGUAAACUCCUUUUGUUAGAGAAGAUAAUGACGGUAUCUAACGAAUAAGCACCGGCUAACUCCGUGCCAGCAGCCGCGGUAAUACGGAGGGUGCAAGCGUUACUCGGAAUCACUGGGCGUAAAGGGCGCGUAGGCGGGAUAGCAAGUCAGAGGUGAAAUCCUAUGGCUUAACCAUAGAACUGCAUUUGAAACUGUUAAUCUAGAGUAUGGGAGAGGUAGGUGGAAUUCUUGGUGUAGGGGUAAAAUCCGUAGAGAUCAAGAGGAAUACUCAUUGCGAAGGCGACCUGCUAGAACGUAACUGACGCUGAUGCGCGAAAGCGUGGGGAGCAAACAGGAUUAGAUACCCCUGUAGUC